UACGUAGGGUGCGAGCGUUGUCCGGAUUUAUUGGGCGUAAAGAGCGUGUAGGCGGCCAGGUAGGUCUGCUGUGAAAACUCGAGGCUCAACCUCGAGAUGUCGGCGGAAACCAUUUGGCUAGAGUCCGGAAGAGGAAAGUGGAAUUCCUGGUGUAGCGGUGAAAUGCGCAGAUAUCAGGAAGAACACCCGUGGCGAAGGCGGCUUUCUGGGCCUUACCUGACGCUGAGGCGCGAAAGCUAGGGGAGCGAACAGG
rnacentral:rRNA from 1 species